ACGAACGCUGGCGGCGUGCUUAACACAUGCAAGUCGAACGGAAAGGCCCUGCUUUUGUGGGGUGCUCGCGUGGCGAACGGGUGAGUAACACGUUAGUAACCUGCCCUUGACUUUGGGAUAACUUCAGGAAACUGGGGCUAAUACCGGAUAGGAGCUCCUGCUGCUUGGUGGGUGUUGGAAAGUUUCGGCGGUUGGGGAUGGACUCGCGGCUUAUCAGCUUGUUGGUGGGGUAGUGGCUUACCAAGGCUUUGACGGGUAGCCGGCCUGAGAGGGUGACCGGCCACAUUGGGACUGAGAUACGGCCCAGACUGCUACGGGAGGCAGCAGUGGGGAAUAUUGCACAAUGGGCGGAAGCCUGAUGCAGAAACGCCGCGUGCGGGAUGACGGCCUUCGGGUUGUAAACCGCUUUCGCCUGUGACGAAGCGUGAGUGACGGUAAUGGGUAAAGAAGCACCGGCUAACUACGUG
rnacentral:rRNA from 1 species